CCUACGGGCGGCAGCAGGGGGGAAUAUUGGACAAUGGGGGGAACCCUGAUCCAGCCAUGCCGCGUGUGUGAAGAAGGCCCUCGGGUUGUAAAGCACUUUCAGUGAGGAAGAACGCCUGGUGGUUAAUACCCAUCAGGAAAGACAUCACUCACAGAAGAAGCACCGGCUAACUCCGUGUCAGCAGCCGCGGUAAUACGGAGGGUGCGAGCGUUAAUCGGAAUUACUGGGCGUAAAGCGCGCGUAGGUGGCUUGAUAAGCCGGUUGUGAAAGCCCCGGGCUCAACCUGGGAACGGCAUCCGGAACUGUCAAGCUAGAGUGCAGGAGAGGAAGGUAGAAUUCCCGGUGUAGCGGUGAAAUGCGUAGAGAUCGGGAGGAAUACCAGUGGCGAAGGCGGCCUUCUGGACUGACACUGACACUGAGGUGCGAAAGCGUGGGUAGCAAACAGGAUUAGAUACCCUUGUAGUC
rnacentral:rRNA from 1 species